UACACUCCUGCGGGAGGCAGCAGUGGGGAAUAUUGCACAAUGGGCGCAAGCCUGAUGCAGCCAUGCCGCGUGUAUGAAGAAGGCCUUCGGGUUGUAAAGUACUUUCAGCGGGGAGGAAGGCAAUACGGUUAAUAACCGUGUUGAUUGACGUUACCCGCAGAAGAAGCACCGGCUAACUCCGUGCCAGCAGCCGCGGUAAUACGGAGGGUGCAAGCGUUAAUCGGAAUUACUGGGCGUAAAGCGCACGCAGGCGGUCUGUCAAGUCGGAUGUGAAAUCCCCGGGCUCAACCUGGGAACUGCAUUCGAAACUGGCAGGCUUGAGUCUUGUAGAGGGGGGUAGAAUUCCAGGUGUAGCGGUGAAAUGCGUAGAGAUCUGGAGGAAUACCGGUGGCGAAGGCGGCCCCCUGGACAAAGACUGACGCUCAGGUGCGAAAGCGUGGGGAGCAAACAGGAUUAGAAACCCCUGUAGUCCCAUGA
rnacentral:rRNA from 1 species